AAUUUUUUUAAGAGUCCAGAAAAGAAAUGCCCAAAUAACUGAAAGCUUUCUUAGCAUCUAAUGAUAGUAAGAGAGUUGGAAUUUGUUUAUGAUUAGCAUACCAAAUUAAAUCAAAGUAGGAAAAAUGUUCGGCUCGGCAUUCCAAAAUAUCGGGGGUUCGGAACUUCGACACUUCAGGACUUCGGGUAAGUGUAGGGUUAGGGGUAGGGUUAGGUUAGGGUUAGAGUUGGUUUAGGAAUAGGGUUAGGUUUAGACAUAGGGUUAGGUUAGGGGUAGGGUUACGGGUAUGUUAGGGUUUAGUGUUACCCUAACCAUAUCCCUAAGCCUACACUAACCGUACCCCUAAACCUAACCCUACCUCAACCCCAACCACUAACCCUACCCCAACCCUCUACUGUUUCGCCACUUUUCAGAAAUCUGAAGCACUUCGGCACUUCCGAAAUUGUUCGGUUCGACAUUCGGAAGCAACCGAAUUUCCGAAAUUCGUCUGAAUUUGCAUACAGAACGAAACAAAUUGCACAUGUCUAAAUCAAAG